AUUGAACGCUGGCGGCAUGCCUUACACAUGCAAGUCGAACGGCAGCACGGGAGCAAUCCUGGUGGCGAGUGGCGAACGGGUGAGUAAUAUAUCGGAACGUGCCCGGUCGUGGGGGAUAACGUAGCGAAAGUUACGCUAAUACCGCAUACGAUCUAAGGAUGAAAGCGGGGGACUCGCAAGAGCCUCGCGCGAUUGGAGCGGCCGAUAUCAGAUUAGGUAGUUGGUGGGGUAAAGGCUCACCAAGCCAACGAUCUGUAGCUGGUCUGAGAGGACGACCAGCCACACUGGAACUGAGACACGGUCCAGACUCCUACGGGAGGCAGCAGUGGGGAAUUUUGGACAAUGGACGCAAGUCUGAUCCAGCCAUUCCGCGUGCAGGAUGAAGGCCCUCGGU
rnacentral:rRNA from 1 species